GUCUCCGUGGCGCAAUUGGUUAGCGCGUUCGACUGUUACCAACGUGGUUUAUCGAGAGGUUGACAGUUCAAUCCUGUCCGGGGACG
rnacentral:tRNA from 1 species